AAUGAGAAAAUUAGAAAAGGAGGAUGGAGGACGAGCACACCAAAAAGGGAUAAAAAGAGAGAAAAGGGGAGGAAAAAAAACCUACCUGCGAAGUCUUGUUUGUAGUUUUGGCCAGAAAUGGUGAGAAGAAAAAGCAUGAAGAAGCCGCGAAGUGUGGGGGAGAAAAAGGUGGAAGCGAAGAAACAGCUCCCGGAGCAAACUGUACAAAAACCUCGCCAAGAGUGUCGGGAGGCAGGACCGUUAUUCCUGCAGAGCAGGAGAGAGACGAGAGACCCUGAAACACGCGCCACCUAUCUUUGUGGGGAGGGAUAAUUGAAGCGCCCUGAGCGUACCAGAGCCAGAAAAAAAAAAAUGCUACAUGGGAGCUGCAUCUUAGGGCAUGUGUAUUAGGGUGUGUGCAUGAUGAAUUUCUGGACUGGAUCCCAAUAUUAAAAAGUAGUUUGGCAUUUUAAUAA
rnacentral:antisense_RNA from 1 species